UACGAAGGGGGCUAGCGUUGUUCGGAAUUACUGGGCGUAAAGCGCACGUAGGCGGGUUGUUAAGUCAGGGGUGAAAUCCUGGAGCUCAACUCCAGAACUGCCUUUGAUACUGGCAACCUAGAGACUGGAAGAGGUUAGUGGAAUUCCCAGUGUAGAGGUGAAAUUCGUAGAUAUUGGGAGGAACACCAGUGGCGAAGGCGGCUCGCUGGACCGGUUCUGACGCUGAUGCGCGAAAGCGUGGGGAGCAAACGGG
rnacentral:rRNA from 1 species